ensembl:lncRNA
GGCCCCUGAAGGAGGAGGAGACCAGGGGGUCAGAGGUCACUGGCUCCUGAAGGAGGAGACCAGGGGGUCAGAGGUCAACGGUCCCUGAAGGAGGAAGAGGAGGAGGAGGAGGAGACCAGGGGGUCAGAGGUCACUGGCUCCUGAAGGAGGAGGAGACCAGGGGGUCAGAGGUCAACGGUCCCUGAAGGAGGAAGAGGAGGAGGAGGAGGAGACCAGGGGGUCAGAGGUCACUGGCUCCUGAAGGAGGAGACCAGGGGGUCAGAGGUCAACGGUCCCUGAAGGAGGAAGAGGAGGAGGAGGAGGAGACCAGGGGGUCAGAGGUCAUGGCCCCUGAAGGAGGAGGAGGAGACCAGGGGGUCAGAG